UACAGGACGAACGCUGGCGGCAACGCUUAACACAUAGCAAGUCGAACGAGCGAAAGGUGCUUGCACCUCUAGCUAGUGGCGACGGGUGAGUAACACGUGAGCAAUCUGCCUUCGGUGGGGGAUACCAAUUGGAAACGAUUGUUAAUACCCCAUAACAUAACGAAGCCGCAUGACUUUGUUAUCAAAGAUUUAUUGCCGGAAGAUGAGCUCGCGUCUGAUUAGGUAGUUGGUGAGGUAACGGCUCACCAAGCCGACGAUCAGUAGCCGGACUGAGAGGUUGAACGGCCACAUUGGGACUGAGACACGGCCCAGACUCCUACGGGAGGCAGCAGUGGGGAAUAUUGCACAAUGGGGGAAACCCUGAUGCAGCGACGCCGCCGUGAGUGAUGAAGUAUCUCGGUAUGUAAAGCUCUAUCAGCAGGGAAGAUAAUGACGGUACCUGACUAAGAAGCACCGGCUAAAUACGUGCCAGCAGCGGC
rnacentral:rRNA from 1 species